AAGUAUGUUGGGCCUAUUGGAUUGUUUCUGCUGAGUCGUUCUCUCCCUCUGUUACACAUUUCUUGUAGCUGAAACCUACUUCAUCAUUCCUUUCUCUGCUUUUCUCUUCUUAUUCUCUGAGGCUACGUUGUACUGAUCUGAAAUGGCUGCAUUGAAGUAUCUCAUCUGAAACUUCAUGUAGGGUUAGGAAUUAGGUUACUCAAAACCUACUUGCCUAUUGACCUCUCACCGGCCAGCUGUUCCAGCGCUCCCUAAGGACCUACUGUUUCACCAACCCAUGGCUUUCUCCCUUGUACGAACGCUCGACCCUCUCCUGCCUCUACCGUGUAGGCUCUGCGGUUUCCUCUCCUCUGCUCAUCCCUAUGGACAUCACUUUACAGGUUCUGGUGAGCAAAAAUUCCUGGAAGCAGCUAUGAGAAAAACCAUUCAUGAGUGAUGAAGAUUAUGCUGAUUUAAAACAGAGGCUAAAGGUGUACAUUUUUAUUUGGAAGGAGGAUUGCUCUGGUCUUUCCAUGACUAAGAGUGAUGUCACUGCUGCAGAAAUUUCUACAUGGGCUAAAAUGAUAACAAAACCAAAGGUAUGGCACGAAGAGUUAAAAAAGGAUUACAAUGACUCAAUUGUACAAGUGAAUGACUCUCCAAAGAGACUUAGAAAUUGAAAAUCGUGGCUACUCGGCAAAGAAGUGAUCUUUUCAUGAACAUCCCAGCUUCACACAAUUUUGAUGCAAUGAUCAUUGUAUGUAGCUUAUAUUUUUUCUGGACAACUAUUCAAUUUGCGUUGUUUGAUCCAUUUUGUACUAACUAAAGAGCAAAGGAACAUAUUAGACAACUUCAGAGAUCAAAAUGAUUUUGGCAUGUCUCUAUAUCCAAAGGAAUAGUGAUAACUUUGAAGGAAGAUUUUGAAUAUGCAAGUGGGAAUAAACGAUCAAGGUUGUUUGGUAAAAAUGUAAGCCUAUCUGGGACCUGAGAUGAAAGCUAUAGUUGUAUAAAACAGUGAGGCUUCAGUUGAGUAAAAAUGUCAGAAAUAAUAGAGUAUAUUGAGGAAACUUAUUGGGGGUCAAAGAAACGAGUUUUGCUUCUUGGUCAUAGCAAAGGAGUACAUGCAGCAGCUGCUUUAUCAUUGUAUUGGUAUGAUUUGAAAGAGAUUGGCAUAGCCCAAAGUCCUUAUGGUGGUACACCUAUAGCACAAACUCGCUAUGAUGGUACACCUAUAGCUUCUGUUGUGGUGGGACCUAAGCAAAAAAUGGACCAUGCUUGGACGGUUUACACACCUCUAAAUGAUGCAUCUCAGGUGUGUGAGGCUCUCUUGUCUCUACUUGUAGAAAUGGCAGAACAGAGUCAUGAGCUUGCUAUAAAAGAUUAAUGAAGCACAAAGUUCUAUUGUACCUAGGGAUGGCAAUGGGUCGGGUAGGGUGCGGGUUUUGCCAAACCCAAACCCAAACCCGAAAUCAAAAACCCACACCCGCACCCGCACCCGAACCCGAAAUGGGUGGUGAACUUAAACCCACACCCGAACCCAUUGGGUUUCGGGUUCACCCGACCCGUACCCACACCCGCACACAACCUCAAACAAACAGUUGAACUCGGAAACCCGACCUGAAAAAGACUGUGAAGAGAGCUAUAUUAUGUAAUGUAACAUUGUAAUUGCCAUGUUACUGUUAAAUUAAUAUGCAAGAUGCUGCAUAUAUUGUAUUGCACAAGCAGAAUACUUAGGUUUCACUUAUACAGAUCCGGGUUCGGGUAGGGUUCGGGUGCGGGUUUGGC